ACGGCAUCAUAGGGAAUUAUACCAAAAUCUCUGUCUUAGCUUUUCCAACUUCUGCUGGAUUCCUGGACCUGGAUGCUUCCUCCUGCCUUAUCUCUGGGGAUCCACUUUUUUCUUUUCUUUUCAUUUCGUAUCCAUUGCGGCUAUCAUUACUAUUUACAAAUGCCUGGACAGCUACGACAAAGGAUAC